rnacentral:lncRNA from 1 species
UUUACACAACAAUGAAAACCCAAUUGAAUCUAACAAAGGCUGAAGAUUACAGAAAUAUAUAUCAGCAACAAAAAGAGGUCAUAUGAUCCUUAUGCAUUCCACUUGUUGCAUGCUGCCCCAUGAUCAUUCAAAGUCUGUUGAAUCUGCAACAAUUUGGAAAAUGAUUUAAAUAAGUAAAAAAAAAAAUACAGGAUGCUUAAUACAAUGUGCAUGAUACAAAGAAGUACGAAAUCAAAGAUAGAUAAUCUAACCAUUUAUAUGUUCUGGAAUACUUCUUCAUACACGACAUUCCGAGUGCAAUUAGAUACUACUCCUUUGUCAUCGACUAUAAGUAUCUUCAACCCUUUUCUAGAUUUUACUCUCGACAGAGCUACAUAUAGCUGGCCAUGCGUGAACACCGGCCUAGGAAGGUAUAAUCCAACAUGCGAUAGCGAUUGGCCUUGGCUCUUAUUUAUAGUCAUAGCAAAACAAACAGUAAUAGGGAACUGUCUCCUUGAGAAUUUGAAAGGAAGGUCAAUGUCAGAAGGAGUUAAGCUAAGCCUAGGAAUAUAAACUGGUUUACCUGUUUUAGAACCGGAGAGAGUUGUUGCAACAAUGAUAUAAGGUGUCAAAUCGGUCACUAUCAAUCUAGUCCCAUUACACAAUCCAGCAGACUGAUCAAUGUUCCGAAUUAGCAUGAUAGGGGCACCAGCUUUGAGAACAAUUAUGUGGUUGGGAAUACCAGAGCACUUAACAUCAUUUAGAAAUUCUGAAGUGAACCAUUCUGCAUCUAUUUCAGAGGCUUCAUCUAACCUACAUGGAGUGUCGUAACUCAAAUAUUAUGUUUCCUCCCUAGGGAUCAUUGACAUCAUGAAGUUAUUAACCUCUUCAACACUUUCAAGAGUGGGAGCCAAGGAGUGCUCUUUGUUCAAAAUAUGCAUAGUUCUCCAAAUUAUCAACAACAUUGGGAUAUGCAAAAUUGACUAACUCAAGUAAGGGAUUAUCAGACUCCCUCACCAACAAAUCAGAGGGAAUUUCUAUAAUAGAAUCAUCCUCAUUGAUUGGCUUAAUCGUGCCAUCGCCCACUUGAAGAAGCCAAUCCGCAAAUUCUUUGAUCUCCAAGGAUGAAGAAGAGGACCCAGCUUGUUGUAAUCUCAUGUUGGUAGUUAACUUCAUUACUUUACAAUGCUUCCAUAGGUAUGAUGAAUUCACAGAAGAAGAAAUGAUUUCUGAUCUACUUCCUUUUAAAAUUAUUGGCAGAAUCUGUCGGAAGUCCCCACCCAAAACAACUACCUUUCCUCCAAAGGGUUUAUCGUGGCCAAAAGUUGCUUGGGUCUUCAUAAUGUCAUUCAAAGUUUUGCCUAGAGCUUCAAAACAGUGCUUGUUAAGCAUUGAAGCUUCAUCCCAAAUGAUAAGACUUGCUUUUUGAAGCAUCUCAGCUUUAUAAGAACCUUGACGGACAUUACAUGUUGAUGAUUCAUGGAUAAUGAUGGGAAUGAAAAAUCUAGAGUGAGCAGUUCUACCUCCAGGUAAUAGUAAUGAAGCAAUGCCACUGGACGCAACAUUUAGAACAAUUUUUCCUUCAGGACGCAGCGCAGCUGAGAGGGUAUUCCACGCAAAAGUUUUACCAGAUCCGUCAAAUCCAUAUAAGUAAGGGUGCUUACAUAUUGGUCGUGUUCCUGUUCAUAGUGUUUUUAGAUCUAAAUUGAUCAUCAAACAAUGUUAGGUUGGGUUGGAUAAGUUUUGUCUGUUCUCCAAGUAAAAACUCAAAUCGAACCAAAUCGGGUUGGGUCGAUCGGGUCUUGAAGAGAUGAAAAAUUUGAUAAUCUUUUCUAUCUCUUCCUUUAAUCUGUCAAUCGUCUUUGCUCAGUUCUGGGAACUAUUAUAACCAAAAGUCCCUCCUUUAUGAUUUAGUCGUUCUUUCUUUCUCAGACUAUUCCUCCAUUAACGUGUCCCAUUCCAACAUCAACGUCCACACCUCUCUAUGCUUUCUCUCCUUGAACUCAACUUUCACCUAUCCUUUUCUCCUCAAACUAAGAGCUUCUCGUUCUCAAUGUGCAACUUGAGAUCAUUCACAUCACCUUUGUAUCAUAACUGCAACCUCAAACUCCCUUUCAUUCAUAUCCCCCACCACGCAAGUGUUGAAGCAAGACAUCAGUUUCCUCAUUUGGGUCUUUGUGAAAAUGGAAAGCACACAAUUUCCAAGCUUUAAGGCGAGGUUUUCUAGGAAUCAAUGGAAAAACAACCAAGCCCAUGUUGUAAAGCGCAAGGAAUGUGGAUCAAGGAAUCGAUCUCAUGAUAACCAUGUCAAUUGCUUUGAGAAAUUAUGUUUUCGUGUCGAUGGUGUUUCAUGGCGAUGGUCUCCGCUCUCCCUCAACGACAAAACACAUCUUGUGAUGGUGUUCAACUGGUCAACUACGAAGGGAUGUGCGGCGAUGGUGGCGUGAAGGACAAUGGUGACAAACUUGGUAGUUUAGGGCUUCAAAGUGAACUUGAAGGAAUGAGUUGAAUUGAAAAGUGGAAACGUCAAACGUGUGUUAUACCUAUACACUAUGCCCUGAAUCCAUGAUUACUAAAUUUCAAUUAGAGUGAAUUUGUUCGGGUUUUGCAAACCAAGAACCUGAUACCUGAACCAACUUGUUAAUCUGAACCAACUCAUUCUUUUCCAAUCAGUUCGGGUUGUGUGUGUCAAUUUAGUGGGAUACACAACCAAAUGCAUAGAUAUAUUAAUGUGAGGUUGUUUUACCUUAAGUUGAGUCUUUGAUUCGAGUCACUGUGAAUGCAGUUACAUAAAAUACUUGGUGGACAGAGUUUUGUCACCCAUAGUGGUCUAACCCGUCUUAAACAAGAUUUUCUCAAUGCAUGAUACAUAUGGUUUAAACUCAAAACCAAUAAGUUGAUUAUUUACCAAUGUUACAGGGUUUCUGGAAUUUCAAUUUCCGUUUGUGGAUAUUUAGUUCGUUACUUGCUAGCUAGUAUGAACCAUGAACUUUGUUAAUCUUGAUGGUUAUAGUGUUCUCUAUAACUGGCCAUCCCUUGUAGAGAAGAUUAGAGCUAAGGACUAUUGUCCACACACAGUUUGAUGUGACCUACAAUCAACCAACUCACUGCAUAUAUAGCUUGAUCAGUCGCCACUGAUUCACCCAUAUGAUUUGACUGACUUACACAUAUGCAGAAAUUGAGUUACCUUAUAGGGUUAAGCCGACUUAUACACAUUCGAUGUCGUAUUACUACGCGUGGUUAGAUUGACAGAUACAUGGACAGUAACUAAGUUACGUCAUGUGAACGAGUCGACCUAUACACAUGUUGCGGACGACUUAAGAACAUAUUAUGGUUGCAUCAUGUCCAUUGAAACCCUUAGCUUAUGACAUCCCAUAUAAUUUACUAUUGCCUCGCAUCCACACUUAGCCAUAGCAAGGAAGGAGAAACGCUCUAGCUUUGCCAGCACCCAACCCAAUGUCGAGAUACAACUUAAACUACUAUCUUGUACUUAUAUUGCCAUUGUAACUUUAAAUACAUUUCUCCAACAUUUCCCAUACUCAAAUUCCAUAAUGUCAACGACCCACUACCCAAUAUUGAGCAUCUCGCUCGGGGAUAAGCAGAGCAUGCAAAAAAAUACAUAUCCACCAUCCAUUUGCUUGUAGGAAGGACAUUAGACCGAAGAGAUCCAGCGGCUCACUGCAAGCCCUAUUGUAUUGUACAUAGGAAUUCGUACAAAACUGAUUUAACCUAGGAUGCUCCUACAUUUGCUUAUAUGAAAGAAUGCAAGACCAUCUAAGGCACGCACACUUUCUAACUUAACCAUACUAACACUUACACAUGGUAACUUAGCGGUCAAAAUGUCUUUGUAGGUACCAUCAACGGAGGACACCACACAGAUGACAGAUGAGCAACCACCAACAUCACCACCAAAUUCGCCAUUGUAUCUAAAGAGUUACACUCACUUAAAAGCAAUUAGUUUGUCUUUGUCCGAUUAGAACCCAAUAUUAAUUUCACAUUUGAGUCAAUUUGGCAAAUUUAGUUUCUGCGUUAAAUUACAUUAGCCACAUGUGCUUUGUACACAUUAUCAUUUAAGGAUUUAAUCAAUUCUUUUACCUAUAGUUGAUGUAAUAUUUACUUGACUAUUUGAGGAUUAUAUUACCUUAAUUACAAAGCAAGAUCAGCAUCGCAAUCUCAUUACAAAUUCAAAAUCACACUCCUUUCCAAACUACAAGAAUAGUUAAAUUAUAAAGUUGUCUAAAUCACACAAGGUAAAUAUUAGAUGAAAUUACCAUAAUUUCAAGUGAUAUAAUAUUGGAAAAAAAAGUGAAAAACAGAUUAUAAAUAAGGAAAAGUGAUUAAUAAUCACCUAUUCAUUGAUUCUCAGGGCCAUACAACUUGACAGAAUCUUCAUUAACCCAGUGUAAAGUGCAAAACCCCUAUGGAGACAGAAGAGCCAUGGUAAGUCAAAAACAACUGGAGCAAACACCAGCAACAACAACAGUAUAUAACAGGGUGGUAGUGGUGGUGAGGUUUGGUGUGGGGCCCACAUUGAAGCGCGUUUGAGUGUGGAAGUGGUGGCCAUCCACGACAACAUGUUUUAAUCUCAACUUCCUUCACUCACCCACCGACUCAUUCCCAAAAUCACCCUCCAGAUCCAAUCUAAGCCCAACACGUUAAAUACACUGUCCUUUGCAAUUUAAUGAAUCAUGAAUCUUUAAUACCAGAUCUUGCAGGGAUAUUUCAGUCUUUUUAACUUCAUUCCAACAACCCCCACACUCUCUAUGCCUAUAAAUUCACACCCAAGUCCUCCAUUUCCACUCGCACCCCUUGAGCAGAGUCCCUCUAAUCAUACCAAAGCGGCUUCCCUCUGUUCAAUCAACUUGACCCUCCUCUCUCUCACACCACCAGGUACUACUUGGUUUCUGUUGGAAUAAAGUAGUUUUGUUCACACACAAAACACACUUAAUAAGCGAGCGAUACGAUAAGUGAUGUGAUAAUAAUAGAACGCAUGAUGCGAUAUGAAUAGAAGUUUGAGAUAGAAAUAGAAAAAUAGCGGAAAUGAGAUGGUAGAGAAAAUGAAGUGAAGUGUGAAUAUGUCAAAACUCGCAAACCUUUGCUUCUGAUCUCUACUGGAUUCAUCAUUCUGCUACUUGUCUAUCUCAAUUUCUAUAGAUCUGAAUGAUUCAACUCUGAAUUCAGCACUUUUAGGUUGCUCAGUUCUGCAUUUUCCCUUGCAAAUCUCUCCAAUUGUGCUGGAUUUCACUGUUUUCUUUCAGAUCUGGAGGAAUUGUCAUUGUUUUGCUGCAUUUCUUGAUUUUUCUAAGCUAGAUUUGAACUUGGACUUGGACAUGGUUGUGAUUUGUUGAUUACACUGUUUGACCUAAUUUGAUUUUUUAUUUUUGUGCAG